rnacentral:rRNA from 1 species
GACGAACGCUGGCGGCGUGCCUAAUACAUGCAAGUCGAGCGAAGUUUUUCUGGUGCUUGCACUAGAAAAACUUAGCGGCGAACGGGUGAGUAACACGUAAAGAACCUGCCUCAUAGACUGCGACAACUAUUGGAAACGAUAGCUAAUACCGGAUAACAGUAUUUCUCGCAUGAGAGAUAUUUAAAAGUUGGUUAUGCUAACACUAUGAAAUGGCUUUGCGGUGCAUUAGCUAGUUGGUGGGGUAAAGGCCCACCAAGGCGACGAUGCAUAGCCGACCUGAGAGGGUGAUCGGCCACACUGGGACUGAGACACGGCCCAGACUCCUACGGGAGGCAGCAGUAGGGAAUCUUCCGCAAUGGGCGAAAGCCUGACGGAGCAACGCCGCGUGAGUGAAGAAGGAUUUCGGUUCGUAAAGCUCUGUUGUUAGGGAAGAAUGGAUAUGUAGUAACUAUACAUGUAAGAGACGGUACCUAACCAGAAAGCCACGGCUAACUACGU